rnacentral:rRNA from 1 species
UCCGGUGACCAUAGCGGAGAGGAUACACCCGUUCCCAUCCCGAACACGGAAGUUAAGCUCUCCAGCGCCGAUGGUACUGGGGUUUCCCCGGGAGAGUAGGUCGUUGCCGGAA